GAUUCUAGAAGCCAGGGGGACAGAAAAAGAAGACUUGAACUGACAACUGCCACUUAUUAUCUUGGUGUCUUGGUGCUGGUCCUGUUCAAGCUAAGGGAAGGCGAACUGCUUCUGAGAGCUUUUCUGACUUCAAGCCUUUGGUGGACAAAGGACAACCCUUCAACCAUUCCCUGUGAUUCCCAGUCAGCUAGAGAGCAGUCUUGGGGAAGAUCUGGUUAUCCCAACUGUCUAUAUAGAAGCAUAUAUCCCAAAAACUCAAGUGAGAGAAAGCUGAUUACAUUCUAGGAUAAAUGCUGUGCAUUGGUUCCAAGAAGGAAGAACAGUAAUGGCUGGGCAACUGGGGUUAUGGGUCACACAGGACAGAUAUGAACCAAAGACAUUCCAUCUCUCAAUCCACUGAGCCACCUAGCUGCUCCUACCCAUUUUCUGGAUGCUAUAAUUUGGAGGAACAUUAUUGGGUAAUAGCUAGCCAGGAAG
rnacentral:lncRNA from 1 species